rnacentral:rRNA from 1 species
AGCUCCAGUAGCGUAUAUUAAAGUUGUUGCAGUUAAAAAGCUCGUAGUUGGAUUUCUGGCUAGGCAAAGCCGACCUGGUACCUAGUAUCUCGUGUUGGACUUUGUCUGCCAUCCUUCCAGAGAAUGACACACCAUUCACUUGGCCUCUGUCACAAUCUGGAACUUUUACUUUGAAAAAAUUAGAGUGUUCAAAGCAGGCAUAUCGCUGUGAAUACAUUAGCAUGGAAUAAUAAUUUAGGACUUGUGUUCUAUUUUGUUGGUUCUAGAACGGAAGUAAUGAUUGAUAGGGAUAGUUGGGGGUGCUAGUAUUCAGCGGCCAGAGGUGAAAUUCUUGGAUUCGCUGAAGACUAACUUAUGCGAAAGCAUUCACCAAGGAUGUCUUCUUUA